rnacentral:rRNA from 1 species
UUCGCCCUUAGAGUUUGAUCCUGGCUCAGGAUGAACGCUGGCGGCGUGCUUAACACAUGCAAGUCGAACGAAGCACCUUGAUUUGAUUCUUCGGAUGAAGAUCUUGGUGACUGAGUGGCGGACGGGUGAGUAACGCGUGGGUAACCUGCCUCAUACAGGGGGAUAACAGUUAGAAAUGACUGCUAAUACCGCAUAAGACCACAGCACCGCAUGGUGCAGGGGUAAAAACUCCGGUGGUAUGAGAUGGACCCGCGUCUGAUUAGGUAGUUGGUGGGGUAACGGCCUACCAAGCCGACGAUCAGUAGCCGACCUGAGAGGGUGACCGGCCACAUUGGGACUGAGACACGGCCCAAACUCCUACGGGAGGCAGCAGUGGGGAAUAUUGCACAAUGGGCGAAAGCCUGAUGCAGCGACGCCGCGUGAGCGAAGAAGUAUUUCGGUAUGUAAAGCUCUAUCAGCAGGGAAGAAAAUGACGGUACCUGACUAAGAAGCCCCGGCUAACUACGUGCCAGCAGCCGCGGUAAUACGUAGGGGGCAAGCGUUAUCCGGAUUUACUGGGUGUAAAGGGAGCGUAGACGGAUGGACAAGUCUGAUGUGAAAGGCUGGGGCUCAACCCCGGGACUGCAUUGGAAACUGCCCGUCUUGAGUGCCGGAGAGGUAAGCGGAAUUCCCGGUGUAGCGGUGGAAUGCGUAGAUAUCGGGAGGAACACCAGUGGCGAAGGCGACCUACUGGGCACCAACUGACGCUGAGGCUCGAAAGCAUGGGUAGCAAACAGGAUUAGAUACCCUGGUAGUCCAUGCCGUAAACGAUGAUUACUAGGUGUUGGAAGAUUGACCCCCUUUCAGUUGCCGCCGGUUACCACAUUAAGUAAUUCCACCUUGGGGAGUACGCCGCAAAGGUUAAACUCAAAGGAAUUGACGGGGGCCCGCACAAGCAGUGGAGUAUGUGGUUUAAUUCGAAGCAACGCGAAGAACCUUACCAGGUCUUGGACAUCGAGUGACGAAUCUAGAGAUAGAUUUUUCCUUCGGGACACAAAGACAGGUGGUGCAUGGUUGUCGUCAGCUCGUGUCGUGAGAUGUUGGGUUAAGUCCCGCAACGAGCGCAACCCUUGCUAUUAGUUGCUACGCAAGAGCACUCUAAUAGGACUGCCGUUGACAAAACGGAGGAAGGUGGGGACGACGUCAAAUCAUCAUGCCCCUUCUGACCUGGGCUACACACGUACUACAAUGGAUGUAAACAGAGGGAAGCAAAAUAGCGAUAUGGAGCAAACCCCAAAAAGCAUUCUCAGUUCAGAUUGCAGGCUGCAACUCGCCUGUAUGAAGUUGGAAUUGCUAGUAAUCGCGGAUCAGCAUGCCGCGGUGAAUACGUUCCCGGGCCUUGCACUCACCGCCCGUCA